GCCUUCGUAGUGUACUGGUCAGCACGAUCGACGCGUAUUCGAGAGGUCCGUGGUUCGGAUCCCGUCGAGGGCA
rnacentral:tRNA from 1 species